UCGGUCAGUUAACUGAUUGUUAGUCAGAAUAUUGUGUUUAUAAAGCCGAUGUAGAGUCGGAGUCAAGAGUCGAUUGAAUGGUCCCAACAAUUGCCCCCCAUUCCUGAGUCCAAUGUGGUCUGACAUGUAUAUCAUCACGUGAUCUAUCAUGUUGGACGAAGGAGUUAUCACAUAUUGUCUCGAGCUCCAACUCGGCUGCUGAUA
rnacentral:lncRNA from 1 species